rnacentral:rRNA from 1 species
UACAGAGGGGGCGAGCGUUAUUCGGAAUUAUUGGGCGUAAAGGGCGCGUAGGCGGCUACGCACGUCCGUUGUGAAAUCGCUCGGCUCAACUGGGCGGGGUCAGCGGAUACGGCGUAGCUGGAGCAAGCUAGGGGGCAAUGGAAUUCCCGGUGUAGUGGUGGAAUGCGUAGAUAUCGGGAGGAACACCAGUGGCGAAGGCGGUUGCCUGGAGCUUUGCUGACGCUGAUGCGCGAAAGCGUGGGGAGCGAUCCGG